UACGUAGGGUGCAAGCGUUGUCCGGAUUUAUUGGGCGUAAAGAGCGUGUAGGCGGCCAUACAGGUCAGCUGUGAAAACUCGAGGCUCAACCUCGAGACGCCGAUGGAAACCAUCUGGCUAGAGUCCGGAAGAGGAGAGUGGAAUUCCUGGUGUAGCGGUGAAAUGCGCAGAUAUCAGGAAGAACACCCGUGGCUAAGGCGGCUCUCUAGUACGGUACUGACGCUGAGACGCGAAAGCGUGGGGAGCGAACAGG
rnacentral:rRNA from 1 species